CUCCAGCCAGCAGUCAGGAAUUUUCACGGAGAACCUCAACUUUAGAUCUUCAGGGACUCAAGGCAAGAUCCCUGGCCUUUGCAUGCCUCAGGUGAGAAAAGAAAAGCCUGAGAGACUCAGCUGCCUGGCAAAUGGCCUGAGCACCUGGCCAUCCUAAAGCAGCAGCAGUCAUACAGCAACAGCCCCGCAGCAGAGCGCAACGUCAGACUCCAUCUCCACAAGUCACUCACCUUUCCCUCAGCAACAAAGAGGUCCUUGCAGCCAGCAGGAAGAGAGAGAUGACCACCGACUCUAGCAUGACAUCUUGGUGAGACUUGUGGAAGCAUGGAGGAUUGGUCAGAGACACUAAAUGGAGCCUUUCUGGAACAAGGAAUAUUCAUUGUCCAGGGAGGUUUUAUGGCAAAUCCUGAGACAAAUUUCUUGGGAAGUAAAAACCUGGCAAGGGGGAAGUUCCACCCUCCUGGAUGGAACAAUCAGGGUUGACUCAACUCCUGCUUUGGUUUAUAGAGGCCCAUCCAGUCAGGAUCAUUGAGGCUGGAAAAGGCCUCCAAGGCCACUGAGUCCAACCUUGUCAUCAACCCAAAGCUCCAUGUCUGAUCCUUCCUUGGAUGUCACCAUCAU
rnacentral:lncRNA from 1 species